rnacentral:rRNA from 1 species
CAAUGGGCGCAAGCCUGACCCAGCAACGCCGCGUGAGGGAAGAAGGUCUUCGGAUUGUAAACCUCUGUCCUUGGGGACGAAAAAAAUGACGGUACCCGAGGAGGAAGCUCCGGCUAACUACGUGCCAGCAGCCGCGGUAAUACGUAGGGAGCAAGCGUUGUCCGGAAUUACUGGGCGUAAAGGGUGCGUAGGCGGCUAGGCAAGUCAGAUGUGAAAUCCCCGGGCUUAACUCGGGUGGUGCAUUUGAAACUGCUUAGCUUGAGUGCAGGAGAGGAAAGCGGAAUUCCUAGUGUAGCGGUGAAAUGCGUAGAUAUUAGGAGGAACACCAGUGGCGAAGGCGGCUUUCUGGACUGUAACUGACGCUGAGGCACGAAAGCGUGGGGAGCAAACAGGAUUAGAUACCCUGGUAGUCCACGCUGUAAACGAUGGAUACUAGGUGUGGGGGAGAUACAACCUCCGUGCCGCAGCAAACGCAAUAAGUAUCCCGCCUGGGGAGUA